GACACUUUUAUAUAACAAUGUUUCUGUCAGAACACUAAGUUCUCACCACUUUAUUUUGAGCCCAUCCCUAUGGCAACUGUAGAAUCUGUCUCCAGACGGGAAAUCGGGAGUGAAGGAGGGCCUAGUCUGGGAGGGAGGAAGGGACCUAGUGGUGGAGGGAAGCACCUAGUGGGGGAGGUGAGACCUAGUGGGGAGGGAGGGUCCUAGUGGGGGAGGUGAGACCUAGUGGGGAGGGAGGAAGGGACCUAGUGGGGGAAGGAAGGAAGGGAGGGAUGAGGGACCUAGUGGGAGAGGUGAGACCUAGUGGGGAGGAAGGAAGGGACCUAGUGGGGGAAGGAAGGAAGGAAGGGAGGGAUGGAUGAGGGACCUAGUGGGGGAGGUGAGACCUAGUGGGGAGGGAGGGACCUAGUGGGGGAAGGAAGGAAGGGAGGGAUGAGGGACCUAGUGGGAGAGGUGAGACCUAGUGGGGAGGAAGGGACCUAGUGGGGGAGGGAGGGACCUAGUGGGGGAGGGAGGGACCUAGUGGGGAGGGAGGAAGGGACCUAGUGGGGGAGGGAGGGACCUAGUGGGGGAGGGAGGGACCUAGUGGGGGAGGGAGGGACCUAGUGGGGAGGGAGGAAGGGACCUAGUGGGGGAGGGAGGGACCUAGUGGGGGAGGGAGGGACCUAGUGGGGGAGGGAGGGACCUAGUGGGGAGGGAGGGACCUAGUUCUAUUACACUGUAAAUGAAAGGGACUAGAACACUUUACACAAUCAAACAUCUGAACUUUUAAGAACCAGUGUCAUAAUAUGAUCUUAGUUGGAUGCCGCCGUGAUGACGUCAAGUGUCUUCAUGUUGAAAAUACCUCUUUUGGUCUCAUGGUACCAUUACAUUCCUCCUCUUCUGAGAAUUAAAAAUAACCACCAGGAGAUCCCAGAAUACUACAGCCCCACAGCCAUCUGCUGCAGCUAGGGCAGGGUAGGGCAGCAAGCCUGGACAAGUCAGCCAGCCAGCCCCCAGAAUAGUCUCCGGUGCGUUAAACACUGACACUGUGUCAGAGCCUGUGAAUGACCUAAUCAGUGUUUCCCCUAACACAUCUUUAUUUGGGCAGCCACCCAACCAGGCAAGGUCAUCUCUCCCCCACUUUAAACUAUUUGAAUAUGAUUGGUUUCAAUUGGAUAUGUGGGUGUAGGCAGCUCUGGGUUUUUCCUUCAAGGUUCUUUGUGAUCAGUCUACUGUAUAUAAAACAAGGGGGGGGGAAACACUGCCCACAAAACAUCAGUGUUUCUUUUGUGAUCAACCAUUGAGAUUCAAGGAGGCCUGUGUUCCUAACGGUCCAUUCUUCUCUCUGGAAUUGAGCGCAAUCUGAAUCCUCUACCUUGCUCUCUGAAGAGGGCACUUGGUCACCAACACCUUAUGUAAGGAGUCAAAAGCAUGGGAGUGGUGUAAGCAUAGGCUAAACAUGAUUCCCAGUUCCCACCAUAUUUCCUUUCUCUCACCCCUUAUCUUUUAAUCCAUACGGCAGAGUGAAGAGUACACACUGUCUUCAAAGAGAAGGGUAAAGAAUUGGAUGGCAGCCCGACUCUCUCUUCCCAGGUCAAAGAGGUUGUUAGUUGUUGCUAUGCAGAGAUAGACUGCCACCUACUGGACUGGUCUGGUCACAGCUGUAAUUUUCCUUUCUAGCAUUAGAGGGCGCUUGUCAAACUACUGAACAUAGCUUUUUACAAUGAGGCAAAGUGAUCAGACUUUCUAAACAGAAAAAGUUGCACAUACAUAAAGUUCUCAAAUCUCUCCAGUUAAAAACAUUUAAUCACACAGUUCAACACAGACCACAGCGAUAAAGGAGUGAGAAAUGGGUUGGGAAGUAACACUCUUAGGAAGGAAGAGAGGGCCAAUCAUAUUCACCAUAAUGAAUCUAUCACUGUCACUCACCGCUACUGUCAACUAUUCAUGCACAUCAACACUGACAAAAACAAAUGGGCAGAUUCACACUAAUUUACUCACACUGAAAAUUAACAAUGAAAAAGGCAUUAAUUCCAGGGAUUUUUUUUAGGACCAAAGAUCUUGUCAAGUGGUUAAUUAAUCUGAUUUUUUAGGACUAAAUGAUAACAUUUUAGUUCCUUAUAUAGGACAGAAUGCAUUAAAUCUCCACUUGUUCCAAACUAACAGAUGACCAAUGAGAUUACUGAUAUUGUUUGCAGUCAAUCAAUGGUAAAUGAAUCUAUGCGGUACAGACUGGACCAUGCUACUGUGUACUGCUGCCAGACAGACAUCCCUGGAUCGAGAUUAAAGCUCUUAGUCACAUCCAUUCUCCAUCUGAUAAGACUAGGCCCGUCUCACUGUCCCUCACUCUAAAUAAAUAUCUAGAAAUCUAUCGCUAGCUAUAUUUGUGUGCAUAUUGGUUACCCAUAAAGGAGCAGGAGGAAGUUACCCCCUAGACACUGAUCUAAGGUCAAUUGUACAUUUCUUCCAUCUAAUAGGAUUGGAGAAGCUGGUUGAAGGAUGAGCUGAUCCCAGAUCUGUGCUUACUGGGCAACUUCUAACCCGGUGAAGGUAUAUAUACACACCUAGGCCUAUAUGUGAAUAUGUACAAACAGCGCAGCAGUUAUUCUUCUAUGUUCUAGGUAUGUCCAGCAGGUGUGCAUCAUCUGAGCUUGGGGAAGAUCCUGAUGAAGAGGAUCAUACUGAUGAAAGUGAAGGAGACCAGGAUGAGCAUCAGCCACAGGGUCCAGUUGACCGACUUCUUGGUGUGCUGCUCCAAACGCUCCGACUCAACCUUCAGCUUCUCGAAGUUGGUGUCUGCCUGCCGCAUAGACUGGGUCAGGGUCUGAGUGAGAGAGGAGAAAAACAUACCUAUUAGAUCAGAUCCUCUGCUGUGGCUGAAGGAUAGACUAGGUCAGAGAGACAGGAUACUAUGAAUAUUUCUGCUGUGGCUGAAGGAUAGACUAGGUCAGAGAGACAGGAUACUAUGAAUAUUUCUGCUGUGGCUGAAGGAUAGACUGGGUCAGAGAGACAGGAUACUAUGAAUAUUUCUGCUGUUGCUGAAGGAUAGACUGGGUCAGAGAGACAGGAUACUAUGAAUAUUUCUGCUGUGGCUGAAGGAUAGACUGGGUCAGAGAGACAGGAUACUAUGAAUAUUUCUGCUGUGGCUGAAGGAUAGACUGGG
rnacentral:lncRNA from 1 species